rnacentral:rRNA from 1 species
GACGAACGCUGGCGGCGUGCCUAAUACAUGCAAGUCGAGCGAAGCGGGGACGGGUGAGUAACACGUAAGGAACCUCCGAUAAGCGGGGGACAACAUCCGGAAACGGGUGCUAAACCGCAUACUUAUCGAUGGCCUUGGGUGGCAUUAGCUCGUGGGUGGGGUAACGGCCUACCAAGGCAAUGAUGCCUAGCUGACCUGAGAGGGGGAUCGGCCACACUGGGACUGAGACACGGCCCAGACUCCUACGGGAGGCAGCAGUGGGGAAUAUUGGGCAAUGGACGAAAGUCUGACGCAGCCAUGCCGCGUGUGUGAAGAAGGUUUUCGGGUUGUAAAGUACUUUUAUCGGGGAGGCGGUACCUGCAGAGAAAGCAACGGCUAACUCCGUGCCAGCAGCCGCGGUAAUAC